rnacentral:misc_RNA from 1 species
AAGUCGUAACAAGGUUUCCGUAGGUGAACCUGCGGAAGGAUCAUUAUUGAAUGAACUUGACUUGGUUGCUGCUGGUCUUUUCGAAGGCAUGUGCACACCUUGUCAUCUUUAUAUCUCCACCUGUGCACCUUUUGUAGACCUGGAUUCAACUUUCCGAGGCAACUCGGUCGUGAGGAUCUGCUUUAUUAAUGAAGCUUUCCUUGAAGAUUCUAGGCCUAUGUUUUCAUAUACACCAUAAGAAUGUAAUAGAAUGUCAUUAUUAGGCUUUAUUGUCUUAUAAACUAUAUACAACUUUCAGCAACGGAUCUCUUGGCUCUC